GUGGGGAAUAUUGGACAAUGGGCGCAAGCCUGAUCCAGCCAUGCCGCGUGAGUGAUGAAGGCCCUAGGGUUGUAAAGCUCUUUCACCGGUGAAGAUAAUGACGGUAACCGGAGAAGAAGCCCCGGCUAACUUCGUGCCAGCAGCCGCGGUAAUACGAAGGGGGCUAGUGUUGUUCGGAAUUACUGGGCGUAAAGCGCCCGUAGGCGGGUAUUUAAGUCAGGGGUGAAAUCCCGGAGCUCAACUCCGGAACUGCCUUUGAUACUGGGUACCUAGAGUAUGGAAGAGGUAAGUGGAAUUCCGAGUGUAGAGGUGAAAUGCGUAGAUAUUAGGAGGAACACCAGUGGCGAAGGCAGCUUACUGGUCCAUUACUGACGCUGAGGUGCGAAAGCGUGGGGAGCAAACAGGAUUAGAUACCCGAGUAGUCC
rnacentral:rRNA from 1 species